GGUGAUCUAGGUCUGAGAUUUAAUGGAGGACAAGUAAAAAACAGAUCUCGAUGAGUAUUAAUGGAGGACAAGUAACAAAGAUUUUCUGGAAGUGGUCGGUGCUGAAAAAUGAGAAAAACAUAUUUUUGGUUGUCCAUUGCUAUGUUGUCCUCUGCUAUGUUGUGUCGUCAUAUAGAGAUCCUAAAGAUCAAAAUUUGUCCAUCAAUAAAUAACAAAUGGAAAGGACGAAUAGUAGAACAUCUCACAAAAAUAUAAAUGGUCCAUCUCAUAGUUUACCUGGGCUGAGGAGGAUUGUCUAUUGGACUAACUGAUGGACAGGUUUGAUCUGUAGAUCUGAUCAACAAUCUGUAGAAUAAAUGUCAG
rnacentral:lncRNA from 1 species